AGAAGGCCUUCGGGUUGUAAAGCACUUUCAGCGGGGAGGAAGGCGUUAAGGUUAAUAACCUUGUCGAUUGACGUUACCCGCAGAAGAAGCACCGGCUAACUCCGUGCCAGCAGCCGCGGUAAUACGGAGGGUGCAAGCGUUAAUCGGAAUUACUGGGCGUAAAGCGCACGCAGGCGGUCUGUCAAGUCGGAUGUGAAAUCCCCGGGCUCAACCUGGGAACUGCAUUCGAAACUGGCAGGCUAGAGUCUUGUAGAGGGGGGUAGAAUUCCAG
rnacentral:rRNA from 1 species